UACGGAGGGUGCAAACGUUAAUCGGAAUUACUGGGCGUAAAGCGUGCGUAGGCGGUUCGUUAAGUCUGUUGUGAAAGCCCCGGGCUCAACCUGGGAAUGGCAAUGGAUACUGGCGAGCUAGAGUGUGUCAGAGGAUGGUGGAAUUCCCGGUGUAGCGGUGAAAUGCGUAGAGAUCGGGAGGAACAUCAGUGGCGAAGGCGGCCAUCUGGGACAACACUGACGCUGAGGCACGAAAGCGUGGGGAGCAAACAGG
rnacentral:rRNA from 1 species